UUAAGUUCAGCGGGUAUCCCUACCUGAUCCGAGGUCAACCAGAAAAAAUGACGGUUAAGACCGAGCCGGAGGAUCGCUGUGAUGCGUGCUAAGAAGCUCGCUGCAUCCAGGUCCGUACAGGCUCUGCCAUUAUCUUUGAGGUCCGUUGAGAUUUACAUUCAACGGGACCCAAUAACAAGCCAAGCUUGAGGGUUGAUAAU
rnacentral:misc_RNA from 1 species